UUGCAACCGAUUAAGCUGACAGACCUCCUCUCCCCAUGGGCACCCAGUGUGCCAUGACUGCAAACAGCAGCCUCCUCAGUAGUAUGGGCAGCCUAUGGCUCAUAUGGGUCACCCUAAAGGACCUUGGAGAUAGCC